rnacentral:rRNA from 1 species
AUUGAACGCUGGCGGCAUGCCUUACACAUGCAAGUCGAACGGCAGCACGGGAGCAAUCCUGGUGGCGAGUGGCGAACGGGUGAGUAAUAUAUCGGAACGUGCCCAGUCGUGGGGAUAACGUAGCGAAAGCUACGCUAAUACCGCAUACGAUCUAUGGAUGAAAGCGGGGGAUCGCAAGACCUCGCGCGAUUGGAGCGGCCGAUAUCAGAUUAGGUAGUUGGUGAGGUAAAGGCUCACCAAGCCGACGAUCUGUAGCUGGUCUGAGAGGACGACCAGCCACACUGGGACUGAGACACGGCCCAGACUCCUACGGGAGGCAGCAGUGGGGAAUUUUGGACAAUGGGCGCAAGCCUGAUCCAGCAAUGCCGCGUGCAGGAUGAAGGCCUUCGGUUGUAACUGCUUUGUUACGGAACGAAAGGGUUUACUAUUAAUACUAGGAGCUCAUGACGGUACCGUAAGAAUAAGA